UACGGAGGAUGCAAGCGUUAUCCGGAACGAUUGGGCGUAAAGCGUCCGCAGGUGGCUGUGUAAGUCUGCUGUUAAAGAGUGAGGCUCAACCUCAUAAAAGCAGUGGAAACUACACGGCUAGAGUGCGUUCGGGGCAGAGGGAAUUCCUGGUGUAGCGGUGAAAUGCGUAGAUAUCAGGAAGAACACCGGUGGCGAAAGCGCUCUGCUAGGCCGCAACUGACACUGAGGGACGAAAGCUAGGGGAGCGAAUGGG
rnacentral:rRNA from 1 species